AUUUCUUCUUUCUUUCUAAAUUUUAAAUUAUGAAAUCCUUAAUUAAAUCAAUGAUUUAAUUUAUUCGGAGUCUUGCCGAACUUCUCGGGUAUAAUAAAUUCUUGGAUUAUCUUAAGUAUUUUGAAAUACUUUCUGUGACUGAUGAAAUUCUCAUCUAAUUAUUUACUGAGUACUAUUCAACACGGCUUAAUGAUUUCUCUUCUUCCGUGGCUUAGGAAAAAAUUCUCUACUUUAAAUCCUGAAUUUAUUUCGAGCGAUGGCCCAUCAAAUUUAAUUAAAAUGGUCCAACGAGUAUUAGAAACAAGGCCCAGAUUUACUGUAGUGGCCCAAAUCUCUAUAUCUCUUCUUCUCUCUUUUUUUUUCAUCACUGUAGGCCCAAGAGGAUUUUUCUAGCCCAAAAUUUAAACGAAGGGGUCUAAUUUGUUUUUUUAAAAAAACACUCUCCCUUCCCCCACAUCGGCUGUUCUAUCUCUUUUCUUCAUUUUCUCCCCAAAUUGAAAUGGGGAGCCCUGGAUUCCAAACCCCACCGCCACCUCAUGUUACCAUCUCCGUCGCCUCCGCCGCCGUUCACCAAUGCAUUCCUCUCUAUCUCUCUUCGUUAAUCUCUCCUUCACCGCCACCAUCUAUCCUUCAUCUUUCUCUUAUUCAUUCUAAUUAUCAAUUUUGGGGAGUCCUAAUUGAAAAGACGCGGCGGCUCCUACUGCUCUCACCGACGAAGUCGGCGCUGCCGCCUAUCCCUCGCAGCGCUGCCACCUCUGUUCUCACAGCAGGAAUCGCGGCUGCCCUUCGAGCUGUUGACGGUGGCAGCUCGCGCCAGCCAGUGAGCGUCGUCUUCGCCGCUGUUUUCCAUAACCUCCGUCGGGCUCGCCGCCGAGCAGCUCCUACCAGCGGCUGCUUGUCAUCGUAUAGGGUUCGGAUCAGCUGUUGUUCGAGAGCUUGGAAGCUGCUCGCCGCCGCCGGUUCGUCACCGGUCAGCCCCUCGAAUUAAGCUAAGUCCCCCUAUCUCCUUCUUGUCUAUUAAGCUUUUAGUUUCUGGGCUGUAGCUUUGUUCUUAAGAUGUUGGCUACUUGUUUUUUUUCGAGAGAUGGCUUAUGGUUUCAUAACUCAUUUUUGCACUUUAUUCACAUGCUAGCUACCGAUCUAAGGUCUCAUAUAUGGUGCUAAGAUUUCCAAGCUAUACAUGUGGGAUUUCUAAUGUGAUGCAGAGGAAAGUAUGUUGGUUACCUUGUUGUCUGUGGAAACUGCCAUUGCCUCUCCACUUCUUGCUUCUCCUCACUCUCAACUUACACUCUGUUUUUACUAGAGGUUUCAAAGUAUGAGGGAAAGGGGAAAGUUGUGGAAUGUGGGGUGGCUUUUAUAGGCAAGAACGCGUACUCGUGAAGCAUUAAUUUGGGAUGCUGUAUACUUUGUUUCUUCCCGCAGAACUCACUCUUUUUCUGGGCUAGUGCAGUCACUUUAACUGCAAGUGCACCACAAGGCUGUGCAGAGGCUGGUAUCUGGGGGUACAACUGCCGGAUGUAGCCUUGCAGGGAUCCUGCAGCUACUGGAUGGGUUCUGCCGGCUGGACUUGCCCUUUUCCAGCCCAUCUUUCUCUCAUUUUUCUAAAAGGGAUCGAGGCUGGCUACAGAUGACUCAUUAUCCAACGUUCCAGCCCAUCGAGCCUCUCCGAAACUGGGCCGAGACGGCUCGCGCUGAAGGCCGAGGAAAUUCUCUAGGAACUCUUGAUUGUAAUAGAGUAGCUCGAUUUAAGUUUCUCUCUUUUUCUUUACUCAACAUGUGUAGAGUCUAUUGAAAUUAAUGUGUUUCUGUUUUCCUUUGUUCUCUUUGAACAUUUGUAAGCUUAGACUUUAGCUCGAAAUGCUAAAAUGUUGUGUUGCUCAAGAAAUAAAUAAGUAUUAUUUCUUUCUCUUUA